rnacentral:rRNA from 1 species
GAGCGAACGCUGGCGGCGUACUUAACACAUGCAAGUCGAGCGAGGAUUACGGUGUGAGCAAUCAUAUUGUGGUCCGAGCGGCGCGCGGGUGAGUAACACGUGGGUAACCUGUCCCCGAGACUGGGAUACCCCUCCGAAAGGGGGGCUAAUACUGGAUACGCUCCUUGGGUCGCAAGAUCUGAGGUGGAAAGGUGGCGCACGCUGCCGCUCGAGGAGGGGCUCGCGGCCUAUCAGCUAGUUGGUAGGGUGACGGCCUACCAAGGCGAUGACGGGUAGCUGGUCUGAGAGGACGGCCAGCCACACGGGGACUGAGACACGGCCCCGACUCCUACGGGAGGCAGCAGUGGGGAAUCUUCCGCAAUGGGCGAAAGCCUGACGGAGUGACGCCGCGUGGGGGAUGAAGGCCUUCGGGUCGUAAACCCCUGUCAGGGGGAAAGAUGGGUGUCGGCGCGAUAACCGCCGGCAUCUGACGGUACCUCCAGAGGAAGCCCCGGCCAACUCUGUGCCAGCAGCCGCGGUAAGACAGAGGGGGCAAGCGUUGCUCGGAAUUACUGGGCGUAAAGGGCGCGUAGCGGGGCGGCAAGUCGGUCGUGAAAGCCUCCGGCUCAACCGGGGAAAGGUCGAUCGAUACUGCCGUUCUUGAGGGUAAGAGAGGAGACUGGAAUUCCCGGUGUAGCGGUGAAAUGUGUAGAUAUCGGGAGGAACACCGGUGGCGAAGGCGGGUCUCUGGCUUAUCUCUGACGCUGAGGCGCGAAAGCGUGGGGAGCAAACGGGAUUAGAUACCCCGGUAGUCCACGCGGUAAACGAUGGGCACUAGGUGUGGGGGGGUUCAGUCCCUUCCGUGCCGCAGCUAACGCAUUAAGUGCCCCGCCUGGGGAGUACGGCCGCAAGGUUGAAACUCAAAGGAAUUGACGGGGGCCCGCACAAGCGGUGGAGCAUGUGGUUCAAUUCGAUGCUGAGCGAAGAACCUUACCUGGGCUUGACAUGCAGGCAGUAGGAACCCGAAAGGGGGACGACCCGUUAAGUCGGGAUCCUGCACAGGUGCUGCAUGGCUGUCGUCAGCUCGUGCUGUGAAGUGUCGGGUUAAGUCCCUUAACAACGAGCGCAACCCUCGCCCGCUGUUGCCAACGGGUAAUGCCGGGAACUCUGCGGGGACCGCCAGCGAUGAGCUGGAGGAAGGCGGGGAUGACGUCAAGUCCUCAUGGCCUUUAUGCCCAGGGCGACACACGUGCUACAAUGGCCGGGACAAAGGGUUGCGAACCCGCGAGGGGGAGCUAAUCCCAAAAACCCGGUCUCAGUUCAGAUUGGAGUCUGCAACUCGACUCCAUGAAGGCGGAAUCGCUAGUAAUCGUGGAUCAGCACGCCACGGUGAAUACGUUCCCGGGCCUGUACACACC